rnacentral:ncRNA from 2 species
CUACAUAUUGUUAUUACAGGUACUGCCUUGCGGCAGUUUAAAAGGGAAGCAGGUGAAAAUCCUGCACGGUCCCGCCGCUGUGAUGGGGAGGCAUCCCAUAACGUGCCACUGGGGAAUCCCGGGAAGGAAUGGGGUGUUGAUGAACCAGAGUCAGAAGACCUGCCUGUAAUGCCGCACCGUA